GACGAACGCUGGCGGCGUGCUUAACACAUGCAAGUCGAACGGAAAGGCCCUGCUUGCAGGGUACUCGAGUGGCGAACGGGUGAGUAACACGUGGGUGAUCUGCCCUGCACUUCGGGAUAAGCCUGGGAAACUGGGUCUAUUACCGGAUAGGAGCCAUUUUUAGUGUGAUGGUUGGACAGUUUUUUCGGUGUAGGAUGAGCUCGCGGCCUAUCAGCUUGUUGGUGGGGUAAUGGCCUACCAAGGCGGCGACGGGUAGCCGGCCUGAGAGGGUGGACGGCCACAUUGGGACUGAGAUACGGCACAGACUGCGACGGGAGGAAGAAGUGGGGAAUAUUGAACAAUGGGCGCAAGCCUGAUGAAGCGACGCCGCGUGGGGGAUGACGGCCUUCGGGUUGUAAAAUCCUAUCGAUAGGGAAGAAGCUUUUUGUGACGGUACCUAGAUAAGAAGCACCGGCUAACUACGUG
rnacentral:rRNA from 1 species